UGGGAAAAGUGAGAGAAGUUGACAACGGUGCCGACGUUCAGCAUGUCCUGUGGUACUUGGUUUCUCUUUUGACCAGAUACAAGUAGAUGCGGAGUGCAAAUUUUUCAUAUUUCUCCUUCGACUAAGGUGAGUGAGGUCCUGAUGUGGUACUUAGUUUCUCUUUUGAUCAUGGAUUAAGUAUCAAAACUGCAGCAGGUAAGUAACUGCCUUUUCAUUAUCCCUGUGACAUUGAUUCAGUUUUUUUUUUUUCCUCGUUUCCAGUCUCAUUUUUGACUGUUACUGGUAUAAGCGUUUCUUGUGGUUUCAUAUGCUUUUGCUUUGAGAUGGCUUAUUCUGCGGUGGUUUCUCUCUUGCAAUCACUAGAGCAUCUAUUGCGAUUCCCAUGUCUGAUUCUAGAAAUUAAGCAAAUGCAAGCCAAAGCUUUCAAUGGCAAAGUUGACAAGGCCCUAAACCUUUCCAGAAGAACCUCCACUAUGUCCAAGGUUCAUCUAAGGACAUUAAUCGCAACAACUGAACCUCUAGCAUUGACUGUAGGAGAAUUUAUCGAGACAGUUAAUACUCAUAAGCUAGUAUAAAAAAUUUUUGAGAUAUUGUAAAACAUGUUUUUGGUUGAGCAUAGAUCACCAGCAAGAAUGUUGGAAAAAUGUCCCAAAGUACUGGAAGAAAUGGGUCAUUUUAGGGCAGAGCUGAUGAAAUUGCUCGGUAGGACAACAUAUCCCCACAACAACAGGGUGGGAGAACAUUCAAGACAACCUUCUCUUGCCUGGGUGGUAAAAUUGCUGCAGGCCAGUGACAAACUCAGACAUGCCAUAACCAUUUCCCAUAGAAUGGCCAUGGAGAUAACAGUUCUUUGCCAGGAUCUACGAUAUUUGCUAAGUUUUCUUGAGAGUUCUUCAAAUGAAUUCCUCGGUGAUCACCAAGUAGUGAAAAGUUUAAGAGAUCUCGCUAACAAGGCCGGAGAUAUUGUUGAUGAUUAUCUGUUUGAUAAUCCAAUAAAGUCAAAGAUCAUUGAAUUCAUACAUGCAACACUCGGUGAUCAAAGAGAAUCACUGAUAGGGAUUCAUUACGUCCGGAAAGUAGUUAGGAAAUUCUUUGAUGGAGAGAGUGGGAUUUGUCAAGGUUUGUUGCAGACACUGCAGAUUGCUCGUUCAGUUAGACAAAUGAUGAGGAAGAUGUAUGGUAAAAGAGGUGGUGGCAAGGAAUAUUUGCAGUCAGGAAAUGCUUCACUCAGGGGCUCAUUACAGCAUGAUUCAAAUAAGCAACAUAUUGUGGUUGGCCUUGAUGACUACUUGGGUAGAAUGCUGGACCAAAUUACUGGAUUUCCAUCUAGACUAGAAAUCGUCACGAUUGUUGGGAUGGGUGGCAUCGGUAAAACAACACUUGCCAAAAACAUCUUUGAUCAUCCUUACACCACUUAUCACUUCUAUUGUCGUGCAUGGGUUGUAGUUUCCCAAGUUUAUCAAGUGAGGGAUUUGUUAUUAGGCAUUUUGAGCUCUGUUAGUCAACUCAGUGCUGAAACCUAUUCAAAAACCAAUGAUCAAUUAGCUGAGGUCUUGUAUAGAAGUUUGAAGGGCAGGAGAUAUCUAAUUGUCAUGGAUGAUAUGUGGAGUGCUAAGGCUUGGGGUGAUGUCAAAAGAUCUUUUCCAAAUGAUAAAAAUGGAAGUCGAGUAAUAGUAACUACUCGGUUAACGGAUGUGGCUAUCUAUGUCAAUCCAAAAACGCCUCCUCAUUUUAUGAGCCUGCUAAGCAUAGAAGAAAGCCGGAAAUUGAUGGGAAAUAUAUUGUUUGGAGAAGAAGGUUGUCCUCCGGAGUUGGUAGAUGUUGGAAAAUAUAUAGCCAAAAGGUGCCAAGGCCUGCCACUUUCUAUUGUUGUUGUUGCUGGUCUUCUUUGCAGUGUCACGAGAACACUUGAUUCCUGGAGGGCAAUAGCAAGCAGCAUUAGUUCAUUCCUAUGCACUGACGCUGAACAUUGUCUAGAAAUGCUUGCUUUAAGUUACAACCACCUACCCCCUUACUUGAAAGUCUGCUUCCUGUAUAUGGGGGCUUUCCCUGAAGAUUGUGAAAUUGAAGUGCAAAAAUUGAUCCAUUUAUGGAUAGCCGAGGGCUUCUUGGAUCGAAAAGUUCUUGAACACCCAGAAGCAGUGGCUGUGGAUUACUUGGAAGACCUCAUUGGCAGAAGCUUAGUUUUGGUUGGAAAAAGGAGUUUUGAUGGAAAAAUCAAAACAUGCAUCCUCCAUGAUCUUUUGCGGGAACUGUGCUUAAGAGAAGCUCAGAAAGAAAACUUCUUGUCUGUGAUAAAAGGUUUUUCUGCAGGUAUCGCUGAUCAGCGCCGUCUCAGUCUCCACAAGGACUCUUAUCUUGAUGUUCACUUGGCACCUGAAAUACCAUAUGUCAGAUCAUUUCUGUAUUUUGAUGUGGGUUCUGGCUUUGAACCAGACAUCUUAUUCUUCCAGUUGGGCUUUAAAUUGCUAAAAGUAUUGGAUGUGAUUUUUCUGCGAUUUGAAACUUUCCCUGUUCAAAUACUAGAACUGGUUAAUUUGAGUUACCUUGGACUGAUGGUCACUUUUGAGCUUCCCAAAAUGUUAUCUAGACUCAAGAAUCUGCAAACAUUAGUGAUUCAUGGUCCCUGGACUAGCACAGAUUAUGCUGAGUCCCCAAAUUUGUUGUUUGAAUAUUGGAGUAUGCCAAAGUUAAGGCAUCUCUAUAUUACUGUUGCUUGCUGUUUAAGAAGUCCUUCUGUCAAAAUGGAUAUUAGUUUAAGGCCAUUCACUUCAAAAUGCAUCCAAACUGUGUCCAGAAUUAGAUUUGCAAGCUGCACCAGGGAAGUUUUCAUCAGCAUGCCUUCUCUACGGAUGUUAGCAUUGUCAGAAACCAAGGAAGACUAUGAGAUGGAUUGGUCAGCCAAAUGCCUAAAAGAGCUUUUCUAUUUGCAAGAACUUGAACUUUUGAAGCUAUACUUCUACAGGGAAAGUACAAAAAUACGGAGAAUCUUGUUUUGGGAUGCUUUGCCAGCUAAUCUCAGGAAAUUGACCAUAAGUUGGAGCUAUCAACCAUGGCAGAAUAUGAUCUCCAUUGCCUUGUUACCCAAACUGGAGGUGCUCAAACUGAAAAAUUAUGCUUUCCAAGGGCCGAAGUGGGAACCAAAUGAAGGGGGCUUUCGUGUUCUGAAGCACUUGCUGGUUGAGAUGACUGAUCUAGUGUCAUGGGUGGCCACAAGCAAUCACUUUCCACGUCUUGAGUAUCUAGUUCUCAAGUCUUGCAAGUACCUGAAAGAGGUUCCCCAUGGUAUUACAGAAAUUUCUACCCUGAAGCGGAUAGAGUUGCACAACUGUAGUGAAUCUGCAAAAAUUUCUGCUACAAGUAUUGAAGUUGAAAGCCUUGAUGUUGUCAUCAAAAGCGAUAGAUUUCAGCACUCUGCAUAAAGGGAAGCUUUGAGCUGCGGCUUGCAAUUUCGAUUUCCCACCUGAUCUGGAAUUGCUUCUUGUCAUCCAUCUUGCUGAGGCUUCUCGUAAAUGCUGCAUAAGAGAGUGGAAGGCCAGCCCCGCUCCAUCGGAUGAAAGCGUUUCAAGUUCUUGCUUAGGUUCUUUGGAGCUUUGCAAAGUGAGUGUCCAGAUGAAUCAAGGAAGUUGUGAAUAAAGCACUCGAUGCUGUAAACCGUCCAAAGGAAGAAGAAAGUGUCAUCGUGAGAAGACAAGCACGUCCAUUGCCAAUUGACAUAGUGAUGUGGACCACGCGAUUGACAAAUUCUUGGAGAAGAGGAACUACAUCUACAUGAAGAAAGAAGGAAAGAAGCAAUGCGUUUGAAGUUUUCUGAAUAUCGAACUUAACUUUUUCUACACACAGACAGACUACUUUUCCUUCCUCGAAAAUGCAUAAUGACAGACUACGUGUAUCUUCUGUAACGCAUGAUGAGCCUACAAAAUGUUCUAUUGAAAAUUAAAAGUCAGGCUAGAGUAACUCCUUGGAGAAUACUAAGCUAUGCUGCUGAUGUUCUACAACUGCAAUGUGAUUGCAUACAGCAAUUGAUAGAGCCGUUAUUUGGCACGAUUUGCACUGUCAUCUUGUCCUAAUUUUGGCUAUUCAUGGUGCUAAGAAAGGGGAUUUCACUCAUAUUUGACA